rnacentral:rRNA from 1 species
AGAGUUUGAUCAUGGCUCAGGAUGAACGCUAGCUACAGGCUUAACACAUGCAAGUCGAGGGGAAACGACAUCGAAAGCUUGCUUUUGAUGGGCGUCGACCGGCGCACGGGUGAGUAACGCGUAUCCAACCUGCCCACCACUUGGGGAUAACCUUGCGAAAGUAAGACUAAUACCCAAUGACGUCUCUAGAAGACAUCUGAAGGAGAUUAAAGAUUUAUCGGUGAUGGAUGGGGAUGCGUCUGAUUAGCUUGUUGGCGGGGUAACGGCCGACCAAGGCGACGAUCAGUAGGGGUUCGUGAGAGGAAGGUCCCCACACUUGGAACUGAGACACGGUCCAAAAACUCCUACGGGAGGCGA